UACGUAGGGACCGAGCGUUGUCCGGAUUCAUUGGGCGUAAAGAGCUCGUAGGCGGCCACUCAAGUCGAAUGUGAAACCUCGAGGCUUAACCUCGAGCCUGCAUUCGAUACUGGGCGGCUAGAGUCUGGUAGGGGGAUCUGGAAUUCCUGGUGUAGCGGUGGAAUGCGCAGAUAUCAGGAGGAGCACCGGUGGCGAAGGCGGGAUCCUGGGCCAGUACUGACGCUGAGGAGCGAAAGCGUGGGGAGCAAACAGG
rnacentral:rRNA from 1 species